CAGCCGCCGCGGUAAUACGAAGGGUGCAAGCGUUACUCGGAAUUACUGGGCGUAAAGCGUGCGUAGGUGGUGGUUUAAGUCCGUUGUGAAAGCCCUGGGCUCAACCUGGGAAUUGCAGUGGAUACUGGAUCACUAGAGUGUGGUAGAGGAUAGUGGAAUUUCCGGUGUAGCAGUGAAAUGCGUAGAUAUUCGGAAGAACACCAGUGGCGAAGGCGGCUUACUGGCUCAUACUGGACGCUGAGGUGCGAAAGCGUGGGGAGCAAACAGGAUUAGAUACCCCUGUAGUCCCUGUCUCUUAUAC
rnacentral:rRNA from 1 species